GUUGUCGCUUCGGCAGCACAUAUACUAAAACUGGAAGGAUCCUGAGAAAGAGAAGAUUGGCAUGGCCCCUGGGCAAGGGUAACACCAAUUCAUGAAGUUUCCCAUGUUAAA
ensembl:snRNA U6 U6 spliceosomal RNA